rnacentral:rRNA from 1 species
UGCAGUCGAGCGGUAGCACAGAGGAGCUUGCUCCUUGGGUGACGAGCGGCGGACGGGUGAGUAAUGUCUGGGAAACUGCCUGAUGGAGGGGGAUAACUACUGGAAACGGUAGCUAAUACCGCAUAACCUCGCAAGAGCAAAGAGGGGGACCUUAGGGCCUCUCGCCAUCAGAUGUGCCCAGAUGGGAUUAGCUAGUAGGUGAGGUAAUGGCUCACCUAGGCGACGAUCCCUAGCUGGUCUGAGAGGAUGACCAGCCACACUGGAACUGAGACACGGUCCAGACUCCUACGGGAGGCAGCAGUGGGGAAUAUUGCACAAUGGGCGCAAGCCUGAUGCAGCCAUGCCGCGUGUGUGAAGAAGGCCUUCGGGUUGUAAAGCACUUUCAGCGAGGAGGAAGGCGGUAAGGUUAAUAACCUUAUCGAUUGACGUUACUCGCAGAAGAAGCACCGGCUAACUCCGUGCCAGCAGCCGCGGUAAUACGGAGGGUGCAAGCGUUAAUCGGAAUGACUGGGCGUAAAGCGCACGCAGGCGGUCUGUUAAGUUGGAUGUGAAAUCCCCGGGCUUAACCUGGGAACUGCAUUCAAAACUGACAGGCUAGAGUCUUGUAGAGGGGGGUAGAAUUCCAGGUGUAGCGGUGAAAUGCG